AAAUAGACAGAAAAAACAAGAAAAACCGCCAUAGCAACAAUGAAGCAGAGCUCAUCGUCGGAGGCGGUGUCUUCGUCGUCAUCAACCAUCGACCUAUCUCAUCCCUCCGUCCCUUCUCCAUCAUCGAAGCCUCUCUGCUCGUCCUCGAUUUCCCCGGCCGAAGACCUCCACCUCGGAUCAUCUCGAGACGGGAGCGGAGGGGCUCAAGAGAUCGUAGCCGUCGAUCGCCGAGGAGAGUACACAGCCGUGUGCCGAUGGACGGUCGAGAACUUCACGCGCGUCAAAGCCAAGGCACUGUGGAGCAAGUACUUCGAUGUGGGAGGCUACGAUUGCCGCCUCCUCGUCUACCCUAGAGGCGACUCCCAGGCUCUCCCUGGAUACAUCAGCAUCUAUCUCCAGAUCAUGGACCCUCGCGGCGCGUCGUCGUCUCGGUGGGACUGUUUCGCUAGCUACCGUCUCUCGAUCGUCAACCAUGUCGACGAAUCCCUCACUAUCCAUAAGGACUCUUGGCAUAGGUUCUCUAGUAAGAAGAAAUCGCACGGGUGGUGCGAUUUCACGCUUAAUGGGAGUGUGUUGGAUCCGAAGAUGGGGUUUUUGUUUAAUAACGAUUCGUUGCUUAUUACUGCUGAUAUCUUGAUUCUCAAUGAGUCAGUUAGCUCUAACAGCGAUUCGGGAUCACUGUACAAGGAGAAUUCAUUAGCUGGAGGACCAAUGCCGGAUGUUUUGAAUGGGAAGUUCACUUGGAGAGUAAAUAACUUUACCUUGUUUAAGGAAAUGAUAAAGACGCAGAAGAUAAUGAGCCCUGUGUUCCCAGCUGGGGAGUGUAACCUUAGGAUUAGUGUGUACCAGAGCGUGGUUAACUCUCAGGAGUACAUAUCGAUGUGUUUGGAGAGUAAGGAGACCGAGAAGACUAUGGUAUCGGAUAGGAGCUGUUGGUGUUUGUUUAGGAUGUCGGCUUUGAAUCAGAAGCCUGGGUGCGCUCACGUGCAUAGAGAUUCGUAUGGGAGGUUUGCUGCUGAUAAUAAGAGCGGCGAUAACACGAGCUUGGGGUGGAACGAUUACAUGAAGAUGUCUGACUUUGUGAAUCCUGAAUCAGGUUUUUUAGUUAAUGACACUGCUGUCUUUAGCACUUCGUUUCAUGUUAUUAAAGAGUUCAGUAGCUUUGCUAAGAAUGGAGGGUUGGUUGCGGGGAGAAACGGGAGUGGAGCUAGGAAAUCAGAUGCGCACAUGGGUAAAUUCACUUGGAGGAUUGAGAAUUUCACGAGGUUGAAGGAUCUUCUCAAGAAGAGGAAGGUAACAGGUCUUUGCAUCAAAAGUAAAAGGUUUCAAAUUGGGAACAGGGAUUGUCGACUUAUUGUUUAUCCCCGAGGGCAGUCCCAGCCACCGUGUCAUCUUUCGGUAUUUCUUGAAGUGACAGAUUCACGAAGCUCUAGUGAUUGGAGCUGUUUUGUUAGCCACAGACUAUCAGUUGUGAACCAGAGGUUGGAGGAGAAGUCGGUGACAAAGGAAUCUCAGAACCGCUACUCGAAAGCUGCAAAGGAUUGGGGUUGGCGUGAGUAUGUGACACUUACGAGUUUGUUUGAUCAGGACUCUGGAUUUCUCGUUCAAGACACUGUUGUGUUCUCCGCAGAGGUUCUGAUCUUGAAAGAGACAUCUGUAACGAAAGACUAUGUGGAGGCAGAAUCAGCUUCACAGAUUGAUAACAGCGUAAAAAGAAGUUCAUUUACGUGGAAAGUAGAGAAUUUUCUCGCCUUUAAGGAAAUAAUGGAAACACGAAAGAUCUUCAGCAAGUUCUUUCAGGCCGGUGGAUGUGAACUCCGGAUUGGUGUAUACGAGUCGUUUGACACCAUAUGCAUAUAUUUAGAGAGUGAUCAAUCUGCGGGUACAGAUGUGGACAAUAACUUCUGGGUCAAGUACAGGAUGGGUAUUCUGAACCAAAAGAAUCCUGCGAAAAGUGUGUGGAAGGAGUCAUCUAUAUGCACCAAGACCUGGAAUAACUCCGUCUUACAGUUUAUGAAGGUGUCUGACAUGCUGGAGGCUGAUGCUGGGUUUCUCGUGCGUGACACUGUUGUUUUUGUGUGUGAAAUAUUGGAUUGUUGUCCUUGGUUCGAGUUUUCAGACUUGGAGGUCUUGGCGUCAGAUGAUGACCAAGAUGCCUUAACCACUGAUCCUGAUGACAUUAUUGAUUCUGAAGAAAGUGAGGGCAUAAGCGGAGAUGAGGAAGACACAUUCCGAGAUUUUCUUUCCCAAGCUGGAUUCCAUCUCACGUUUGGGGAAAAUCCUUCUCAGCCACAGGUGACCCUUCGAGAGAAGCUUAUAAUGGAUGCAGGUGCAAUUGCUGGGUUUCUUACUGGAUUACGUGUUUAUCUUGACGACCCUACUAAAGUAAAGCGUUUACUUCUUCCCACUAAAAUGUCUUGUGAUGAUAGAAGCAAGCUAACAAAGAGUGAUGAAUCUUCACCCAGCCUGAUGAAUUUGCUGAUGGGUGUUAAAGUUCUACAGCAAGCAAUUAUCGAUUUACUUCUAGAUAUAAUGGUUGAGUGUUGCCAACCUUCGGAGGAAGGGUCUUAUUCUGAGCCUUCUUUGCUGGAUGCAAAGACAGAUGGCUGCGUGGCUUCAACUUCAUUGGAGGCAACUAGGGAAAAUGGAGCAGCAGAAGCUUCACAACAUCUUGUUGACGAGAGAUUUAAAUCUGAUGCAGAUGCUACUACUCUCAGUACCUCAGCUGUACAAAGCUCCGAGGUGAAUGGGAUCGAUAUGCUUGAGAAAGCCCUUGCAAUAGAGCCUGUUUCUCCCCCUGAAACAUACGCUGAGCAGUCUUCUGAUACUUCAGUUCAGUCAAAGACAAAGUGGCCAGAACAAUCUGAGGAGCUAUUAGGACUGAUUGUUAACUCACUGAAAACUCUUGAUUCGGCUGUUCCACAAGGUUGUCCAGAGCCUAGACGACGACCACACUCUGCUCAAAAGAUUGCUCUUGUUUUAGACAGAGCGCCUAGACAUUUGCAACCAGAUUUAGUUAGUCUGGUUCCUAAAUUGGUUGAGCAUUCGGAACACCCACUAGCUGCGUAUGCACUUAUCGAACGGCUUCAAAAGCCUGAAGCUGAACCAGCAUUGCGUGAACCAGUAUACAAUGCUCUUAGCCAGUUAGAUUGUGACACUGAAGUAUGGGAGCACAUUCUAUUUCAGUCACUUGAGCUUCUGAAUGAUUCAGGUGAGGAAAUUCUUGUGGCGGCCAUUCAUUUCAUAUUUAAAACUGCCUCACAGUGCCAACACCUACCUGGAGCCGUAAGGUCAGUCCGUGAACGGCUUAAAAGUCUGGGUGCUGAUGUAUCUGUUUGCGUCCUUGAAUAUCUGAGCAAAACUGUACACAGUUGGGCUGAGAUUGCCGAAAUGAUACUUAGAGACAUCAACUGUGACGACAGUCUAGAUGGCAAUUUUGGGACAUUACCCUUCGGGCCUUUUCUGAUUGGUGAAAACGAUUCCAUCUCCGAAAUGGAAGAUCUGAUGGAUAAGCAUGAAUUCUAUGUAAACAGACAGUUUUUUGAUGUCUACAUAUUGCUGGAAAUGUUGUCCAUAUCGUCCCUAGCUGUGGAGGCAUCUCAGACGUUCGAAAGAGCUGUUGCUCGUGGAGCCAUUGUUGUUCAGUGUGUUGCCAUGGUCCUUGAAAAACGACGUGUACAAGGGCCAAAUCUGAGUGCUACUCGUGGGGAUCCUGUAUUGGAGGGAGAGGUCAGCGAGGAAGAAGCCGCUGGAGGGAUUGAGUUCAGGGCACUCCUUAAUCUUGCGGAGACAUUAGCUCAUUCCAAAGAUCCUCAAGUGAGGGGAUUUGUGAAAAGGCUAUACGCAGUAUUAUUCAAAUGGUUUCCUGAUCAGCCAUUUAGGGUUCAAAUACUGAGGAGACUUGUAGAUAGAUUUACCAGCCCCACGAGUAGCAACGGAGAGUUAGACUUAGAGCUGCGGAUUCUUGAUAUUCUGAUUUUUCAGGAGCGAGAGGUUGCGAGACCUAUUUUAGCCAUGUUGAAAAAGGCAGUAGAACAUGCGAACAUUGACAGGGCUGCUCUGUGGCACCAACUGCGUGUGAACAAGGAAGAGCUUGUUAGGCUGAAGGAAGAAAAGAAGACAGAGAUUCAAACUCUGACAAAGGAGAAAUCUGGCAUCACGAAAAAAUUGAGUGAAUCUGAGGCUGCAAAGACCCGUCUUAAGUCUGAAAUGAAAGCUGAGACGGACCGGUUUGGUCGGGAAAAGAAGGAACUGGUAGAACAGUUUCGGGAUGUGGAGAGUCAGCUGGAGUGGGUUCGGUCAGAACGUCAAGAUGAGAUAGAUAAACUCUCUUCUGAGAAGAAAGCUCUUCUGGAUCGCCUUACCGAGGCAGAGACACAACUUUCUUUGCUAAAGACACGAAAGCGUGAUGAACUUAAGAAGACAGGGAAAGAGAAAACUGCUCUAACGGAGAAGCUAAAGGUAACAGAGGCAGCCCGGAAAAGAUUUGAAGAAGAGCUGAAACGGUAUGCAACAGAGAAUGCAACUCGGGAAGAAGUUCGCAAGUCACUUGAGGAUGAAAUUAGGCGACUGACACGAACAGUAGGGCAAACAAAAGAAGAGAAACGAGAGAAAGAAAAUCAGAUUGCUCGUUGUGAAGCUUACAUUGAUGGAAUGGAAUCCAAACUCCAAGCUUGCCAGCAAUACAUCAGCACACUAGAAUCCUCACUUAGAGAAGAGAUUUCAAGACAUGCGCCUCUAUACGGUGCCAAUUUAGACUCUCUAUCGAUGAAGGAACUGGACACAAUAGCUCGGAUCCAUGAGGAAGGGUUGAGACAGAUCCAUGCCCAUCAACAACGUAAAGGAAAUGGUUUAUCACAUGGUCUUUCUCACGGCCACACACUUUACCCGAGUACACCACCUCAGCUGCUUCCUAAUGGCUCAGGGGUUCACUCAAACGGACAUAUUAACGGUUCUGUCAGGCCUUGGUUUAGCCACCACACCUAAAAGAAUACAUCCUUUUUCAUAGGAAGACUACAACAAGAGAAUGGCCUCGCCACGUUGUUUUUGAGAGGGUCGUGGAUCUAACCCCCCAAGUUGGUAUAAGAUGUAGCUUUGGAAAACAAGAUUGGGUUAGAUAAUUUCUUGUCCUUAGGAUGGGGCACAAAUACUUUGCUCAUCAUUCAUCUGAUGAACUGCCUAAAACAUCUAACUUAAUGCUUCAUCAUGAUACAAGCCAAUAAACAUGUUGCAUUUUUGUUCAAUAUACCAACAAUGAGAUGAAGGGUACCCCCUUUCAGUUAGAUGAUUUGUACUCUUAAUAUGAAGAAAUUAGAGCAUCAUUAACGCAGCACCCCAUUAGUGGGUGCUUAUUUUUUUAAUU